GGGUACCCAGCGCUUUCAGGUGCCCUAACCGAAUAUUGGUAACGGGAGAAUCGGGAAAUCGGUGAAAGUCCGAUACGUGCCCAACGCUGUAUAGGAGAUUACACAGAACAGGUGGAAACCAGCCACUGGCUGUUAAAUAGCUGGGAAGGCUUCUGUGUAAAGUGAUCCUGAGUCAGAAGACCGGCCUGAUAGCUGAUUAGAGA
rnacentral:ncRNA from 2 species